AACGUAGGGGGCGAGCGUUGCCCGGAUUCACUGGGCGUAAAGCGGGUCUAGGCGGUCCGUUAAGUCGGGUGUGAAAUCUCGGGGCUUAACUCCGAAACUGCAUUCGAUACUGCCGUGCUUGAGGACUGGAGAGGAGACUGGAAUUUACGGUGUAGCGGUGAAAUGCGUAGAUAUCGUAAGGAAGACCAGUGGCGAAGGCGGGUCUCUGGACAGUUCCUGACGCUGAGGCACGAAGGCCAGGGGAGCAAACGGG
rnacentral:rRNA from 1 species